AGAGUUUGAUCCUGGCUCAGGAUGAACGCUAGCGGCAGGCUUAAUACAUGCAAGUCGAGGGGCAGCAUGGUGUAGCAAUACACUGAUGGCGACCGGCAAACGGGUGCGGAACACGUACGCAACCUUCCCAAAACUGGUGAAUAGCCCUCCGAAAGGAGGAUUAAUACACCGUAACAUAACGAGAUGGCAUCAUUUUGUUAUUAUAGCUCCGGCGGUUUUGGAUGGGCGUGCGCCUGAUUAGGUAGUUGGCGGGGUAACGGCCCACCAAGCCUACGAUCAGUAACUGGUGUGAGAGCACGACCAGUCACACGGGCACUGAGACACGGGCCCGACUCCUACGGGAGGCAGCAGUAAGGAAUAUUGGUCAAUGGACGCAAGUCUGAACCAGCCAUGCCGCGUGAAGGAUGAAGGUCCUCUGGAUUGUAAACUUCUUUUAUAGGGGACGAAAAAAGGGAAUUCUUUCUCGUCUGACGGUACCCUAGGAAUAAGCACCGGCUAACUCCGUG
rnacentral:rRNA from 1 species